UACGUAGGGUGCAAGCGUUGUCCGGAAUUAUUGGGCGUAAAGAGCUCGUAGGCGGUUUGUUGCGUCGGCUGUGAAAUCCCGAGGCUCAACCUCGGGUCUGCAGUCGAUACGAGCAAACUAGAGUGUUGCAGGGGAGACUGGAAUUCCUGGUGUAGCGGUGAAAUGACGCAGAGUAUCAGGAGGAACACCGGUGGCGAAGGCGGGUCUCUGGGCCGAUACUGACGCUGGAGGAGCGAAAGCGUGGGGAGCGAACAGG
rnacentral:rRNA from 1 species